rnacentral:rRNA from 1 species
GGUUAAGCUACUAAGAGCACACGGUGGAUGCCUAGGCGCUAGGAGCCGAUGAAGGACGUGGCGAACAACGAUAAAGCCUCGGGGAGCUGUAAGCAAGCUGUGAUCCGGGGAUGUCCGAAUGGGGAAACCUAACUGGAUUCAUCUCCAGUUACUCACACCUGAAUACAUAGGGUGUGCAGAGGCAGACGAGGGGAACUGAAACAUCUAAGUACCCUCAGGAAAAGAAAACAAGAGUGAUUCCGUCAGUAGCGGCGAGCGAACGCGGAACAGCCCAAACCAAGAAGCUUGCUUCUUGGGGUUGUGGGACGUCUCUUUGGAGUUACAAAGGAAUGAGGUAGGCGAAGAGGUCUGGAAAGGCCCGCAAGACAAGGUGAAAGCCCUGUAGCUUAAAUCUCAUUCUCUCCGAGACGGAUCCCGAGUAGUGCGGGGCACGUGAAACCCCGUAUGAAUCUGCCAGGACCAUCUGGUAAGGCUAAAUACUCCCUAGCGACCGAUAGUGAAGCAGUACCGUGAGGGAAAGGUGAAAAGGACCCCGGAAGGGGAGUGAAAUAGAACCUGAAACCGUGUGCUUACAAAAAGUCAGAGCCCUAUUAAUGGGUGAUGGCGUGCCUUUUGUAGAAUGAACCGGCGAGUUACGUUCCCGUGCAAGGUUAAGGUGAAAAGCCGGAGCCGCAGCGAAAGCGAGUCUGAAUAGGGCGAUUAAGUACGUGGACGUAGACCCGAAACCAGGUGAUCUACCCCUGUCCAGGGUGAAGGUACGGUAACACGUACUGGAGGCCCGAACCCACGCACGUUGAAAAGUGCGGGGAUGAGGUGGGGGUAGCGGAGAAAUUCCAAUCGAACCUGGAGAUAGCUGGUUCUCCCCGAAAUAGCUUUAGGGCUAGCCUCGGAAGUUGAGUCGUGGAGGUAGAGCACUGAUUGGAUGCGGGGCCCGCAAGGGUUACCAAGUUCAGUCAAACUCCGAAUGCCACAGACUUUAUUCCGGGAGUCAGACAGUGAGUGCUAAGAUCCAUUGUCGAAAGGGAAACAGCCCAGACCAUCAGCUAAGGUCCCCAAGUGUGUGUUAAGUGGGAAAGGAUGUGAAGUUGCACAGACAACCAGGAUGUUGGCUUAGAAGCAGCCACCAUUGAAAGAGUGCGUAAUAGCUCACUGGUCGAGUGACUUUGCGCCGAAAAUGUAACGGGGCUAAACACACCACCGAAGCUAUGGCUUGAUACUUUGUAUCAGGGGUAGGGGAGCGUUGAAUGAAGAUUGAAGGUGUACCGCAAGGAGCGCUGGACCUCAUUCAAGUGAGAAUGCCGGUAUGAGUAACGAAAAGAUCAGUGAGAAUCUGAUCCGCCGAAAACCCAAGGAUUCCUGAGGAAGGCUCGUCCUCUCAGGGUAAGUCGGGACCUAAGGCGAGGCCGAAAGGCGUAGUCGACGGACAACAGGUUGAAAUUCCUGUACCACCGAAAGCCGUUAUGAGCAAUGGGAUGACGCAGGAGGAUAGUGACGCGGACUGAUGGAUGUCCGUUCAAGCAGUGAGGCUGGUAUGUAGGCAAAUCCGCAUACCGCAAGGCCAGGCUGUGAUGAGGAGCGAAAAUUGUAGUAGCGAAGGUCAUGAUUUCACACUGCCAAGAAAAGUCUCUAGCCAGGAAGCAGGUGCCCGUACCGUAAACCGACACAGGUGGGUGAGAAGAGAAUUCUAAGGCGCGCGGAAGAACUCUCGUUAAGGAACUCGGCAAAAUGACCCCGUAACUUCGGGAGAAGGGGUGCCCCGGUAGUGUGAAUAGCACGAGGGGGCCGCAGUGAAAAGGCCCAAGCGACUGUUUAGCAAAAACACAGGUCUGUGCGAAGCCGCAAGGCGAAGUAUACGGGCUGACGCCUGCCCGGUGCUGGAAGGUUAAGGGGAGUGGUUAGCGCAAGCGAAGCUAUGAACCGAAGCCCCAGUAAACGGCGGCCGUAACUAUAACGGUCCUAAGGUAGCGAAAUUCCUUGUCAGGUAAAUUCUGACCCGCACGAAUGGCGUAACGAUUUGGGCGCUGUCUCAACGAGAGAUCCGGUGAAAUUUUAAUACCUGUGAAGAUGCAGGUUACCCGCGACAAGACGGAAAGACCCCAUGGAGCUUUACUGCAACUUGAUAUUGAACUGGGGUGCGAUUUGUACAGGAUAGGUGGGAGCCGUAGAAACCGGAGCGCAAGCUUCGGUUGAGGCGCCGUUGGGAUACCACCCUGAUCGCAUUUGAGUUCUAACCUCGUACCGUGAUCCGGUACAGGGACCGUGUCAGGUGGGCAGUUUGACUGGGGCGGUCGCCUCCUAAAGUGUAACGGAGGCGCCCUAAGGUUCCCUCAGAAUGGUUGGAAAUCAUUCGAAGAGUGUAAAGGCAUAAGGGAGCUUGACUGCGAGACAGACACGUCGAGCAGGGACGAAAGUCGGGCUUAGUGAUCCGGUGGUACCGCAUGGAAGGGCCAUCGCUCAACGGAUAAAAGCUACCCUGGGGAUAACAGGCUUAUCUCCCCCAAGAGUCCACAUCGACGGGGAGGUUUGGCACCUCGAUGUCGGCUCAUCGCAUCCUGGGGCUGAAGUAGGUCCCAAGGGUUGGGCUGUUCGCCCAUUAAAGCGGUACGCGAGCUGGGUUCAGAACGUCGUGAGACAGUUCGGUCCCUAUCUGUCGUGGGCGUAGGAAAUUUGAGAGGAGCUGUCCUUAGUACGAGAGGACCGGGAUGGACGCACCGCUGGUGUACCAGUUGUUCCGCCAGGAGCAUCGCUGGGUAGCUACGUGCGGAAGGGAUAAGCGCUGAAAGCAUCUAAGCGUGAAGCCCCCCUCAAGAUGAGAUUUCCCAGUAUGUAAGACCCCUUGUAGACGACGAGGUUGAUAGGUUGGGGGUGGAAGUGCCGUAAGGCAUGGAGCUGACCAAUACUAAUCGGUCGAGGGCUUAUCCAA